CCUACGGGCGGCAGCAGUGGGGAAUAUUGCACAAUGGGGGAAACCCUGAUGCAGCGACGCCGCGUGAGUGAAGAAGUAAUUCGUUACGUAAAGCUCUAUCAGCAGGGAAGAAACACUGACCUUACGGUCAUCAGACGGUACCUGAGUAAGAAGCCCCGGCUAACUACGUGCCAGCAGCCGCGGUAAUACGUAGGGGGCAAGCGUUUUCCGGAUUUACUGGGUGUAAAGGGGGCGGAGACGGUGCGUCAAGUCUGGAGGGAAAUGCCGGAGGUUAACUGCGGAACUGCUUUGGAAACUGGCGAACUAGAGUGCGGGAUGGGUAAGCGGAAUUCCGUGUGUAGCGGUGAAAAGCGG
rnacentral:rRNA from 1 species